UACAGAGGUCUCAAGCGUUGUUCGGAUUCAUUGGGCGUAAAGGGCGCGUAGGUGGCUUGUUAAGUUGAAGGUGAAAUCCCGGGGCUCAACUCCGAAACUGCCUUCAAUACUGGCGAGCUCGAGGACUGUAGAGGAGAAUGGAAUUCACGGUGUAGCAGUGAAAUGCGUAGAUAUCGGGAGGAAGACCAGUGGCGAAAGCGAGUCUCUGGGCAGUUCCUGACACUGAGGCGCGAAGGCCAGGGGAGCAAACGGG
rnacentral:rRNA from 1 species